GAUGAACGCUAGCUACAGGCUUAACACAUGCAAGUCGAGGGGAAACGAUAUUGGAAGCUUGCUUCCGAUAGGCGUCGACCGGCGCACGGGUGAGUAACGCGUAUCCAACCUGCCCACCACUUGGGGAUAACCUUGCGAAAGUAAGACUAAUACCCAAUGAUAUCUCUAGAAGACAUCUGAAGGAGAUUAAAGAUUUAUCGGUGAUGGAUGGGGAUGCGUCUGAUUAGCUUGUUGGCGGGGUAACGGCCCACCAAGGCGACGAUCAGUAGGGGUUCUGGGAGGAAGGUCCCCCACAUGGGAACUGGGACACGGCCCAAACUCCUACGGGAGGCAGCAGUGAGGAAUAUUGGUCAAUGGGCGAGGGCCUGAACCAGCCAAGUAGCGUGCAGGAUGACGGCCCUAUGGGUUGUAAACUGCUUUUAUAAGGGAAUAAAGUGAGUCUCGUGAGACUUUUUGCAUGUACCUUAUGAAUAAGGACCGGCUAAUUCCGUGCCAGCAGCCGCCGCCG
rnacentral:rRNA from 1 species